UUUCCUUGUUGUUUUGUUCGUGAUAAGAAUACUGAAAAUAUAGCUAACGAAAUUAUUCAAUAAUUUGUGAAUUACAGGUAUUUGUAGAUUGAUUCCUGGAUAGAACUCGGAGAACUGUGCAAUGAGACUGUAGUAAUGAAGCAAGAUGAAUGGAGCCCACACGCCCAAUGUGAAUAUCACACAGAACGGUGAGGUAUCGUAUAGUGCAAUACCUACAAUGCCAUCAAGCACACAUAGCAGUAACCAGAUGAGCCUGUCCCAGGGCAUAGGUCAAAUGUCAAUGACCGACGUCAACCUGGAGCAGGCUUUGGAUAGAAUUCAGGAACUUCACCGCGAAAAUAAUGAACUAAGAGAUUACCUGAAGGAUAACAACGAAAAGAUGAAGCUCCAGUAUCAGAACCUGUCCGAGUGGAAGGAGAAAAUCCGGGUCAACAACGCCAGGAACAAGGAGAAGUUCGACCAGACCAAGGAAGUAGUCCAGACCAUGACUCGGGAAAACGCGGAGCUCAAAGCCCAAGUCUCGGCAAAGGCCACUGAGCUACAACAGCUACAGAGGUCUGUGGUAGAGAUGGACAGUGAUCUCAGGUGACCGAGUCCCAGAAUAAACUGGAGGCUGCAAACGAUGCCCUGGAGAAGAAAAGUGGACGACUCCAGGAACUAGAACACAGCAGCGCUGUCCAACACGAGGAGUUCCAGAGACAGCGCGCCCAGGACGCAGGGCUGGUGGAGACCCUCAGGCUGUCCCUGAAGAGUUACGAGGACGCCCUCAACGCGGAGAGGAAGGAGCACCAAAAUACAAAGAAAACAUCCGUAGAACUCAGACAGUCUUUCAACCAGCUGGUGUCUGACCACAAGAAUUUGUCGGAGAAGUACGAUAAUGUCCGCAUGCAGGAACAGAGUGGUUGUACGGAGACAGAGAAGCAGAAGUUACUGGACCAGAUCGGUCGCCUGACGGCCCAGGUCUACGCCGGAGAGGAGGCCAUUAACUACCGAGAGGAGAAACUGAAGAAAGUGGAGGAGGAGAACAAGAAGAUUAAGGAGGAACUCAACAACGUGGUACCUGUGCUGAGGGCUCAGGCGGAGGUGUGGAAGUCCGACUUUGACGCGGAGAGAGACUCCAGAGAGCGACUCCACGCGGAGAAGAGCCAGCUGGAGAACGAGUUGAAGCAGCUCCAACUCCGGAAUCAGCAGCUGCUGGAUGAGAUGGAGAACUUCUCCAAGCGGCAGUUCCAGGAGAUGCAGCAGCGCCACGCCAACCAGGGCUUCCAACACUCCCUGCAGCAACACCUGAGGGUGGGGCAACAGAACCACGGCAGCCCCUACCAGCCCCCCACCUACACCACUCAGUCUUACCCUGGCCCCGCUGCGGGGGCAGGGGCUGUGUAUGACAACAGGUCUACUAAUAUGACCAUGGGACAGUCUCAUGGCGGAUCUCAGGAAGGGGAGGAGCUCCAGCAGUUUGAGUGUCCGAAGUGUAACCAGACAUGUCCCGACAUGGACACCCUCCAGAUCCACGUGUUGGACUGUAUCGACCAGGACAUGACCUGACCUACUGACCUGUGAACUGCCGACCUGUGACUUACUGAUCUAUGACCUAUUGACUUGUGACCUACUUGUGAAAUACUAACAUGCUGAAAUGCUCCAUUCCUGAAUAUGAAGUGACGGUCUCUGUACUGAAUCAAACAUUGCUAGGAUAAUGUACAUGGGCUGGUACAUGCAUAUAUGUUGGUGGAUGUGCAUUAUUUAUGUGUCAUUGCUUAACAUCAAUUAGUUGUUAUUUUUAAUGAAAUAGAGUCAAAUAUAAAAAAACACAUUUUUUAAACUCAGUUCCAAAACAUGCUUUUAAUGUGAUUCAUCAUCUUAAUUUUUCUGAUUUAUUGAUACAAAAUUUUAGUUCUUAUGGUAUUAUAAUGACAGUUUUUUGGUUCCUUUGAAUUGUGUAUUUAUUAUUUGUUUUUACAGUCUUUCAAACUGUUGAUUUUACAAUAUAGAAUAUACAAUGUGAUUUUGUCAAUAAACGAUUUAAGCUU
rnacentral:misc_RNA from 1 species